CCAGUUCCAAGCCUUGUGAGUUUGGAGGGAAAAAUGAUAAACUUUGUGGACAGGCAGUACAAAACUGGAAUUUGCUGAGACUUUUACCUGUGGUAGUAGGUGAUAUAAUAUUAAACUACAGUGAUUCUGUUUGGCAGCUUAUAAUGCAGCUUGGAGAAAUUGUAGCAUUAGUAUGUGUACCACAGAUAUCUACUGCACAGGUUGCAUACUUGGAAGUGAUUAUAAUGGAAUAUCUUGAAAUGAGAAAAGAGUUAUUUCCUGAAAAGCCUCUGAACCCAAAGUACCAUUACUUAAGGCAUUAUGCUGCUUUAAUUCUUAAAUUUGGUCCACUUAUACACUUAUGGACAAUGAGAUUUGAAAGUAAGCAUUCCUAUUUUAAGAGGUGUGCUAGAUGUUUUCAGAAUUUUAAGAACAUUUGUCAAAGCCUUGCUGAACAUCAUCAGCUACUUCAAACCUAUCUUUUUUCUGGGACUUUCUUUUCUGCUGACUUAGAAAUAAGGAAAAGUAUCCCUUUUUGUGCCAAUUUGUACAAUGAAACUAUGCUUAGAGCAUUGGGGGGUUUUGAUUUUGAUGAGACAGAUACAGUUCUGUCAGAGGAGGUGCAAUUUAAAGGUACACUAUACAUAAAUGGGAUUUUUCUUGAUUCUAAAUAAAGGUUCAGAUUUGGAAUUUGGUGAAAUUGAGAUAAUGGUAAUCAAGGAUAGUAAAAACCUGCAUUUUUUUUGUUAGAAAAUAUUAUUCUGCAUUUUUUACCACAUCUUGGUUUGUUUCAGAUAUACCAGGACGCUGAGUGUAUACAGUCUGUACCUUUUGAAUGUCUUGGUGACUUUUAUCCUUUGCCAGCUUACAGAAGUCAUGGAACUUCCAUCAUUUGCCUGAAACACAUGCCAUUAUCAGUUUAAUUUCUAUUUUAAAUCACACGGGGGAUGUACAAUAUAUUGUUUAUACUGUUUGUAAAUAGACUUUUUUUGACAGAUUAGAAAACAUACCUUUCUUUACAGUUACAAAUAUGGAACAGGACAGAAAUUGCACUCAGUUGUAUGCUUUUAUCAGAUCAGUUUUCCCAAAUUUGAACAAUGAAGAUUUGAAAGUUAUUGUAGAGAAGAUUCAGGAUUUGAGAGUAUACCACACAGAAGAUGUCAAGUACAUAAAGGAGGAAGAACUGCUUAGUGUUCUGAAACCAGUUCAAGCACGGAAACUGAUUUCCAGCAAUUUAGUCACAAGUGAAUAUUUUAAUCCCAAUCCCUGUGGUUAUUCACCCCUGUUCCGGGCACAGUCUUGCUCUUUUUUGCAUAUUUCAAUGAAAACGAAAAUGUGAUGUUCUACCAAGUCAGUGACACAUGCUUAGCAAAUGAGGUAUCUGUGUCUGCUCUUCCAGCAUCACCGUGUAUCAUUUUUUGUGGUGAGUAUAUAAGAUGCUGAACUUCUUUUAUAUAUAUUUUCCAACACAAAAUGUUAAAUAUUAAAGUAUUUUGUUCAAUGUUCAUAUUUUUCAGGAGACACUCUGCUGACUGUGAGUUGCUUCAUGUUAAGUGUUGAUAAAAAUGUUGUCAAAGUGAAUAUUCCAGUAUUUUUAGAGGCCUUCGAGAUGAUGUUUGCUGCUUACUACAUUUUCAAUAUUCAGUAUCCAUCUGAUGUAGGAUCAACACUAGAAUUCAUACAAAGGCAAGUUUUAGUAAAACUCUAUAGGUAGCUUAUGCAUUUCAGUUGUUUAAUGGCAUUAUUGAUUACAUAUAUGUGUUUGUAUGUAUGUUUGUAGGUAUGUAAAAGGUGGUCUGAUAUAAUUGAUAUUAUUGUAUGUGGAUGGUCAGUUUUCAGACAUUGACUGUACUGGAAAGUUACAAGCACCUUGUGGUGUGACCGAUGCAGAAGCAAUAUCCAAGAAUUAACAACCGUACUGGUAUCAUGUGUCUCAUUAUAUUUUCACUUUGACUGUAUCUGCCAUUACUUCUGGAUUCCCAAAUAUAAAACAUUACAAUUUUUUUAUGUUCACUUAAACUAUAACUUUAUUUACCUCAGGUGUUUUGCCAACAUCAACCCAGAAAGGCACAAAAGUUUAGCGAAGCAAGUCAAAGAAACAGUAUGCUGUAAACCCAAGAGUGCUCACCUUAAUUUCUGCAACUGCAGAUUUUGAAUGGAGGCAAUGAAAUCAAAAGUAUUAACUGAAAAAGGAAAGUUUUCAUAAUAUUUUAAAUGACCAGAGUAUUAUGAUUAAAACAGAUAUUUUGAGAACAUAUCUGUGGCUUUAUGCACUAUUUACAUGUUGCAAUAUUGCAUGAUUGUUUUAUUUAAUAACAAGUAAGCCUGCGAUUCGCUAGCGAAUCGGAUAUCCAAGAAUGGCAAUCAGUUUCUGUUCUGUCUGAUAUCUGGAUGGAUGACAUAUCAUGGAAGGUGGGUGCGUCUGGGGAAAUGUCAUUUAAUUAUAUAAGCAUAUCUGUAGUGGAGACGUGAUUCCGUUGCCUUUGCUGACACCGACUGCUGGCAUGGUGGAGCACAGCAAGUUCAGUUUACAGGUUGUGGUGUUCGUGUGCCAGCCACUGAGUCUGGAAAGCCGCUGGGUUAGAGUCUGUGACCGUUAUGUGAUCUGUAUUACUGGCACAGUGGAUUAGAGCAAGUGUAGCUCACAGGUUGUGUUGUUUGGGCGCCACCUACUGACUCUGGGAA